GAGUUUGAUCGUGGCUCAGAUUGAACGCUGGCGGCAUGCCAUACGCAUGCAAGUCGAACGGCAGCACGGGAGCUUGCUCCUGGUGGCGAGUGGCGAACGGGUGAGUAAUGCAUCGGAACGUAUCCUGGAGUGGGGGAUAACGUAGCGAAAGUUACGCUAAUACCGCAUAUUCUGUGAGCAGGAAAGCGGGGGACCUUCGGGCCUCGCGCUCUUGGAGCGGCCGAUGUCGGAUUAGCUAGUUGGUGAGGUAAAGGCUCACCAAGGCGACGAUCCGUAGCAGGUCUGAGAGGAUGGUCUGCCACACUGGAACUGAGACACGGUCCAGACUCCUACGGGAGGCAGCAGUGGGGAAUUUUGGACAAUGGGGGGCAACCCCU
rnacentral:rRNA from 1 species